CCACGGAAGAGUCUGUCUGAGUCGCUCUCUCUACCUCGGUGACAUACCAAUUGUUGCCUCGGCGGAGGGGGAGUGGGGGGGCGGGACGGCCCGGCGGAGGACCCCUAAACUCUGUUUCUAUAUGUAACUUCUGAAUAAAACCAUAAAUAAAUCAAAACUUUCAACAACGGAUCUCUUGGUUCUGGCAUCGAUGAAGAACGCAAUUUAAUGCGAUAAGUAAUGUGAAUUGCAGAAUUCAGUGAAUCAUCGAAUCUUUGAACGCACAUUGCGCCCGCCAUUAUUCUGGCGGGCGUGCCUGUUCGAGCGUCAUUUCAACCCUCAAGCACCGGUUGGUGUUGGGACUCGCGUUAAUUCGCGUUCCUCAAAUUGAUUGGCGGUCACGUCGAGCUUCCAUAACGGAGUAGUAAAACCCUCCCUACUGCUCAUCGUCGCGGCCACGCCGUUAAACCCCAACUUCUGAAUGUUGACCUCGGAUCAAGUAGGAAUACCCGUUGAACUUUGACAUCUCAUA
rnacentral:rRNA from 1 species